UACAGAGGUCUCAAGCGUUGUUCGGAUUCAUUGGGCGUAAAGGGUGUGUAGGUGGCGCCGUGAGUCGGGUGUGAAAUUUCGGAGCUUAACUCCGAAACUGCAUUCGAUACUGCGGUGCUUGAGGACUGGAGAGGAGACUGGAAUUCAUGGUGUAGCAGUGAAAUGCGUAGAGAUCAUGAGGAAGACCAGUGGCGAAGGCGGGUCUCUGGACAGUUCCUGACACUGAGACACGAAGGCCAGGGGAGCAAACGGG
rnacentral:rRNA from 1 species